AAUCAUAUGUACGAUACAACCUUCUGAUUUGUUUUCUUUUUCAAAAAUAUAUGUAGUUAAUUUACAUGGAUUUCCUGUAUGUGCCUCGGUCAUUGAUUAGUGAGGAGACGUUCAACUACUCGCUGCCCAGGGCUUGCUUUGUGUGCAAUGCAGAUUUUGAGCUUGUUAAAGAAUUUGACAGGAACAAGCUCACCCUCGAGAAGGUUGAUUUUGGAAAACGCAAUGUAAGAGCAGACCCAAUCUUCCUUUUUUUAAAGAUUUCUUUCGGUGAUAAACAUCUUAUUUUCUUCUUUUUGGUGAUUGUUGUAUGCAACAUCGCCCUUUGUCUCAAACGCCAUAUGCAGUACUGAAGGCGGACAAGCAAUGUGAGGGUCAGAAUCAACAUCAUCCGGCAAAUAUCACUAAUAGAGCUGACAAAGCCAACACUCAAGUCAGUGUUGAGGGUGAUUUAGGUGCCAAGUUUCGCGUCUCUCUGGAUGAGUGGCUGCAGCCGCUCCCUUCCUGCCAAGAGUUAGAGAUACCUUUGCACUUGAAGCCUAUAUAUGAGAAGCACAAAAAUCUCUAUACGGCAGAGUUGAAGAAUGUUGUUACCUCUUUUGGGCAGGUCCUGCAGUCAACUUUCUGCAAGCGGUUGGGUCUCAUGUUGAUGGAAGCGCACUCCAAUGCAGUGUCAAACCAUGAGCACAGGAGUGAAGGUUUUGUCGCCCCAAGAGUCAUUGCAACAAGCAGUGUCGAGCGCACGGGAGCGGUGACUUUUGGCACCCCAACAGCCACUGCAGCAGGCAUUGCUAUCCGCUCUUCCAAGUGUCCAUUAUCGGAUCCUGAUUCCCGGGCAGAAGCAGGUGCUGAUGAUCAGAACAAGGCACAACCUGGUGGUGUAGUUGCUGCUCCCAAAGUAGUGGAGACCGGUGCAUUAGCUGAGAAGGUUGGGGUGGAAGCGGAACAGGGGGCGGGUCAAAGCACAAGCGUUGCUAAGCGUUCCAGGGCUGCUGCGUUGCAACAAGGUGAGAGUAGCAAUCAUUCUCAUGGGAAGGAUUGUGUGGAGCAGGAGGAAGUUAUACAUCGGGGCGGAAAGGUGACCCCCAAAGAUGCUUGCAACAUGGAUCCUUCGGGAGCUUCUGAUAAGGUUGAAACACCAGUUCUUUCCCAGGGCACGGUGCAGGCAAUGAUGGUAACUGCCUUGGAGUGGGAAGAUGGCCCAUCUUGUGCUCUUUUCUCGGAGGGGACCGAAGACUAUGAGUGGAUGAAUCAAAAAGUAGACAUACCAGUCAAGCAUGUGCAGACAGCAAAUGCUUCUAGCUCUGAUGUGCAGAAUUCAAUCCCAUCAGUGCCAAACUUUGACAACACUCCUCAAGUUGAAAGGCCUAGCAACCUCCCAACCGCAACAUUUGACACAGCUCCAAAGCUCCCUAGGGCAAACGACAUUCCGGGGCCUGUGUUUGAUGUGUCCCCCAUCUCAUUCAAAAACGCUUCCUCCGAUGGACCUCAAGGUUUUUUCUUGCUUCAGAACACAAGCUCCUUUUUAUCUAAGAGUUUUCUCAGUGCGUUUCCUUUUUGCAUUCUCAUUUUUCUUUCUGUUUUUUGUGUUGUUGCAAUGUUUGUGCAGUAGUAGUGGAUUUGCACGAGACAACCGAGGCGAAUGUUGAGGUCAGGGGUGAGUCCAACAGUCUUGGUAAACAGACAAAGAAGAAAAGGGUGGCUGUCUCCCCAGACAAUGUGCCAACGAUGAAGAAGAUUAAGGUUGAUGCACACGGUGAUGCCUUACACCAUCAGUAUGUAAUGACCAGAUACAAGACAAGAAAACCAAAGAAAAACGAGCUUCUGUGAGUCAUAUGAUGAUGCUUUUCUAUUACUCAUUUUUGCCUGAAAUCUUUUUUUUCUGUGUUUCCAUAGAUGAAAGAGUUUGAUAUGUGAGCAUAUCUCUUGCUGUUUUUAUCUAAAAUCAACACAAAUUUUCUUUUUGCAGGCCUGACUUCAUUGAAAUAGAUGGCUUCCAUACAUCUCUCGAGAAUUUUCAUGCAUCUCUAAAGCCAAGAGCGGAGAUUGACAAUGAGGUCAUGACCUUAUACCUGAAGACAUUCAACUAUGAUCAGUCAGUGAAGAAGAAGAAGCCAAAAAAAAUUGUUUUCUCAGUGUUGAUGAGUUUGAAACUCAGUGCUGAGCCAGAUGUGUUUGAUCCGAAGGUGUGCGAAAAAGAAUUUAAGAAUGCUUGCUUACAAAAUCACAUUUCAAAAUCUGACCUGCUAUUCUUCAUGGUUGUACACAAAAGGCACUGGGCAGUAGUAGUUGUUAACAUCACCCAAAAGGAGUUCAAUAUCUUUGACUCCAUUAGGAACUCGGAAGACCUUUUUGAGAUGGACAGGAUCACUAAGAAUGUGGUAAUGCUCCUGUUGGAGUUUGGCGCAACAAAUCUUUUCCUUCUUUUUGCUUUUCCACACCGCACACUUAUGCAUUUUGUUUGUCCAUGUUUUAUCGGGUUUGAUCAGGUCGCAAACAUCAAGAGUGUUGCAAUGAGGGAGCCACUUUUUAAGCACAAUCUCGAGUCUUACUCGCUAUUCACCCCACUUGAUUACCCUCAACAAAAAACUUACUAUAACUGUGGCUACUAUAGUAUUUUAUACGUGGAGAAUUGGGAUGGCCUUGUUAUGCUGUCAUUUGGCGAGGAUUACAUCCCAAACCUUCGGAAACGCAUUGCAGCAGAUCUGUUGAGACACCCAAGCAACAAGUUGGACCCCGCGCAUCAGCUGAAGCUGCUUCUUCAGCGUUAGAUGGGUGUUUUCGAGCUUCUGCAACAGGAGGAGUCAUGGCGGCGGUGGCCUAGUACUGCUGAUGCGAGUUAUUGUAGCUAGCUAGAGUGUAGUUGGGAGCAUGUUCUUGUCGCCGGCUCGAGUGUAGUUGAGAGCUUGUUCUUCUAGCCAGCUCAACUGAACUUUUUUCACAAUGCAACUCUGAAUGAAGCACAGGAAUGUUUCAGUGUGUGACUGUAUGCAAGGAUUUGUUUUUUGUGAAGCCUAUUCAAGAUUGUUUGUCAGCUUAUGCAAGGAUUAUUUGUUUUUUACUUGCCUUUUCAAGAAGAUUGUUGAUAUACUUUGACUGUACCUGGCUUGAGAUCUUUUUUUUCUCACAAGUAGUUACAGUGUAUCUGCUAGUAUCUCUAUUACUCAUAUGGAAUACAGUGAAUAUACACCUUUUUUAUAUGGAUUUAGUAAUUACAGUGAAGUUCGACAUCAUCAAUGAAAGUCAAUACACUGUACUCACACAUGUAAUCGUGUGUGAAGUUGAAUAAUCGCAACAAUAGGGUGGGGUUGGGGCGAUUGUCGGGCUGUUGUUUCUCUUCAUCUUCAUAACUUUUCAAUCUCACUAAAACAAAAGGAAAUGUAAUGCAAUAUCCUUUCUAUGUGGCAACGGGCAUGUCAAAAGUUUUUGCUGCAGUUUCUCCAGUGUGUUUUUUAUGGAAAAGUUUUUAAAACAGGAUGCUUCAAUGUACUUGUAUGUUUAAGUAGCCAGCAACAACAUCAUGCAUUGUUGUCCCAAGGAAACCUUUCAAAAUAAAAGCUACAAUGGUGGAAGUACAAUGAGCCAGCAACAAUAUCAUAAGCAACAAGGGGAAUUGUAAUUUCAGAAAAAGAAGAACAUUAUAUCAGGCACAACUCAAUGCAUGAUGAAAUAACUACUUUUUGUCCUCUAAUGUAAAUUGCACCAUUCUCUUUGUCAAGAAACUAAUCUAUGUAACCAAUAUUACAAAUGUGUAGUAGCAAGAGAGUUUUCUUUUUCUUUUUCUGGUCGAAGUUGAUCA